GACGAACGCUGGCGGCGUGCUUAACACAUGCAAGUCGAACGAAAAUACCAAGCUUGCUUGGUUGAUUAGUGGCGAACGGGUGAGUAACACGUGAGUAACCUGCCCCUUACUUUCCUGGAUAACUGCUCGAAAGGGUAGCUAAUACGGGAUAUUCUGACCAUCCUGCAUGGGUUGGUUUGGAAAGGUUUUUUCUGGUAAGGGAUGGGCUCGCGGCCUAUCAGCUUGUUGGUGGGGUGAUGGCCUACCAAGGCUUUGACGGGUAGCCGGCCUGAGAGGGUGGACGGUCACACUGGGACUGAGAUACGGCCCAGACUCCUACGGGAGGCAGCAGUGGGGAAUAUUGCACAAUGGGCGCAAGCCUGAUGCAGCGACGCCGCGUGAGGGAUGAAGGCCUUCGGGUUGUAAACCUCUUUCGUCAGGGAACAAGGCACCGUCUUUUGGUGGUGUUGAGGGUACCUGGAUAAGAAGCGCCGGCUAACUACGUGCCAGCAGCCGCGGUAAUACGUAGGGCGCAAGCGUUGUCCGGAAUUAUUGGGCGUAAAGAGCUCGUAGGCGGCUGGUCGCGUCUGUCGUGAAAACUUCCGGCUCAACCGGGGGCUUGCGGUGGGUACGGGCCGGCUAGAGUGCGGUAGGGGUAACUGGAACUCCUGGUGUAGCGGUGGAAUGCGCAGAUAUCAGGAAGAACACCGAUGGCGAAGGCAGGUUACUGGGCCGUUACUGACGCUGAGGAGCGAAAGCGUGGGGAGCGAACAGG
rnacentral:rRNA from 1 species